UGGGGAGUAUUGCACAAUGGGGAAGGACCCUGAUGCAGCGACGCCGCGUGAAGGAAGAAGGCCUUCGGGUUGUAAACUUCUGUCGUACGGGACGAUAAUGACGGUACCGUACAAGAAAGCCACGGCUAACUACGUGCCAGCAGCCGCGGUAAAACGUAGGUGGCAAGCGUUGUCCGGAAUUACUGGGUGUAAAGGGAGCGCAGGCGGACUAGCAAGUUGGAAGUGAAAUCUAUGGGCUCAACCCAUAAAUUGCUUUCAAAACUGCCGGUCUUGAGUAGUGCAGAGGUAGGCGGAUUCCCGUGUACGGUGGAAUGCGUAGGAAUAUCGGGAGGAACACCAGUGGCGAAGGCGGCCUACUGGGCACCAACUGACGCUGAGGCUCGAAAGUAUGGGUAGCAAACAGGAUUAGAUACCC
rnacentral:rRNA from 1 species